GAGAGGCGAUGAAGGACGUGGUACGCUGCGAUAAGUCACGGGGAGCUGCGAACAAGCUUUGAUCCGUGAAUUUCCGAAUGGGGAAACCCACCUAGCAAUAGGUAUCGUCAUCUGAAUCCAUAGGAUGACGAAGCGAACCCGGGGAAGUGAAACAUCUAAGUACCCGGAGGAAAGGACAUCAAAAGAGACUCCGUUAGUAGUGGCGAGCGAACGCGGACCAGGCCAGUGGCACAUGCAGAACAACCAGAAUCGUCUGGAAAGGCGAGCCUUAGUGGGUGAUAGCCCCGUAAGGGUAAAUUGUGCAUGUGUCCUCGAGUAGGGCGGGACACGAGAAAUCCUGUCUGAACAUGGGGGGACCACCCUCCAAGCCUAAGUACUCCUCAGCGACCGAUAGCGAACAAGUACCGUGAGGGAAAGGUGAAAAGCACCCCGACAAGGGGAGUGAAACAGUUCCUGAAACCGGAUACCUACAAACAGUCGGAGCCCAAGGUUCGUCCUGGGUGACGGCGUACCUUUUGUAUAAUGGGUCAGCGACUUAGU
rnacentral:rRNA from 1 species